AAUCAACGCUGGCGGCGUGCCUAACACAUGCAAGUCGAACGCGAAAGCCCCGCAAGGGGUAAGUAGAGUGGCAAACGGGUGAGUAACACGUGGGUGACCUGCCUUUCAGUGGGGGAUAACGUAGCGAAAGUUACGCUAAUACCGCAUAUUCUCUGAGGAGGAAAGCAGGGGACCUUCGGGCCUUGUGCUGAUGGAGCGGCCGAUAUCAGAUUAGCUAGGUGGUGUGGUAAAGGCUCACCAAGGCGACGAUCUGUAGGGGGUCUGAGAGGAUGAUCGGCCACACUGGGACUGAGACACGGCCCAGACUCCUACGGGAGGCAGCAGUGGGGAAUUUUGGACAGUGGGCGCAAGCCUGAUCCAGCCAUGCCGCGUGAGUGAAGAAGGCCUUCGGGUUGUAAAGCUCUUUCGGACGGGAAGAAAUUGGUGGGGCUAAUAUCCCCAUCGGAUGACGGUACCGUAAUAAGAAGCACCGGCUAACUACGUGCCAGCAGCCGCCGUAACAC
rnacentral:rRNA from 1 species